rnacentral:rRNA from 5 species
UUGUGAUUCAUGACUGGGGUGAAGUCGUAACAAGGUAACCGUAGGGGAACCUGCGGUUGGAUCACCUCCUUACCUUAAAGAAGC